CCUACGGGAGGCAGCAGUGGGGGAUAUUGCACAAUGGGGGGAACCCUGAUGCAGCGACGCCGCGUGGGUGAAGAAGCGCCUCGGCGCGUAAAGCCCUGUCAGCAGGGAAGAAAAUGACGGUACCUGAAGAAGAAGCCCCGGCUAACUACGUGCCAGCAGCCGCGGUAAUACGUAGGGGGCAAGCGUUAUACGGAUUUACUGGGUGUAACGGGGGCGCAGACGGCGAUGCAAGCCAGGAGUGAAAGCCCGGGGCCCAACCCCGGGACUGCUCUUGGAACUGCGUGGCUGGAGUGCAGGAGGGGCAGGCGGAAUUCCGGGGGUAGCGGUGAAAUGCGUAGAUAUCAGGAGGAACACCGGUGGCGAAGGCGGCCUGCUGGACUGCAACUGACGUUGAGGCCCGAAAGCGUGGGGAGCAAACAGGAUUAGAUACCCCGGUAGUC
rnacentral:rRNA from 1 species